rnacentral:misc_RNA from 1 species
AAAGUCGUAACAAGGUAACCGUAGGUGAACCUGCGGUUGGAUCAUUACAAAAUGAUGGUUUCUUUGACUUGAGCAGCUCCGGUAACCAACUCUGGCUGUAGCGUAUCAGUGAUCUCCUAUGGUACAAUUUGUGUAGUAAUGCACAGAUAGUUUUACCUAUUACUAGGUAAAAUCCAUAGGGGAGAACCUAAGCCGCAACUCGAGUGUAUUGGAAGCAGCUCGUUAAAGAAACUUAUUCACCCUUGUGCAUCGUAAUGUUUUUUGGGUCAGUUUAUGACUGGCCCAGCAAUUUAUAAACACUUAUUAUUUUGGCUGAAUUUUUUUGAAAACAAAAAAUAACAACUUUUGACAACGGAUCUCUUGGCUCUC